rnacentral:rRNA from 1 species
AACUCUGUGCACUAUUAAGGUAAGGAAAAAAAAAAAGGGAAUUCGUUUCUAAUUUUCGACUUGCGGCUCAUUUAUUAAACACUUUAAAAAGUCAAUGUAUGUUAAAGAAAUUUAAUAAUAAUAAAAAACUUUCAACAACGGAUCUCUUGGCUCUCGCAUCGAUGAAGAACGCAGCGAAAUGUGAUAAGUAAUGUGAAUUGCAGAAUUCAGUGAAUCAUCGAAUCUUUGAACGCAUCUUGCGCUCGCUGGUAUUCCGGCGAGCAUGUCUGUUUGAGUGUCGUGAACUCUUCAACCUCCAAUUUUUUCUUUAUUGAGAUUUUGGUAAGGCUUGGAUUUUGAACGUUGCUGAAUUUGUUAAUUCAAAUUGUAGCUCGUUUGUAAUAGAUUAGCAUCCUAAUCUUCGAGAUCAGAUUGACUCGGCGUAAUAGACUAUUCGCUGAGGAUUAUGUUUUAUUUUAUUUUAUUAAGCAUAACUGAACUUGAAAAUUGAAAGCUUCUA